rnacentral:rRNA from 1 species
GGAUUAGGCAUGCAAGUCGAGCGAGAAGUCUUAGUUUGAAGCUUCGGCCGAUUUCUAAGAUGGACAGCGGCGAAAGGGAGAGUAAUGAGUGGAUUACUUACCCCCAGGACCGGGAUAGCUGUGGGAAACUGCAGGUAAUACCGGAUAAUAUCUCCGGAUCAAAUGGUGAGAUUCCGCCUGGGGAUGGGUCCGCUUCCUAUUAGCUUGUUGGUGGGGUAACGGCCUACCAAGGCGACAAUGGGUACCGGGUGUGAGAGCAUGGCCCGGCUCACUGGGACUGAGACACUGCCCAGACACCUACGGGUGGCUGCAGUCGAGAAUCUUCCGCAAUGGGCGAAAGCCUGACGGAGCGACGCCGCGUGCGGGAUGAAGGCCUUCGGGUUGUAAACCGCUGUCAGUUGGGAGGAAAUCUAUGGGGGUCAUCCCUCAUAGUUGACCUAUCUUCAGAGGAAGGACGGGCUAAGUUCGUGCCAGCAGCCGCGGUAAGACGAACCGUCCAAACGUUAUUCGGAAUCACUGGGCUUAAAGGGUGCGUAGGCGGCUUGGCAAGUUGGGUGUGAAAUCCCUCGGCUCAACCGAGGAACUGCGCUCAAAACUGCCAAGCUAGAGGGAGAUAGAGGUGAGCGGAACUAAUGGUGGAGCGGUGAAAUGCGUUGAUAUCAUUAGGAACACCUGUGGCGAAAGCGGCUCACUGGGUCUUUUCUGACGCUGAGGCACGAAAGCUAGGGUAGCGAACGGGAUUAGAUACCCCGGUAGUCCUAGCUGUAAACGAUGAGCACUAGGUUGGAGGCUCCUCCAUAGGCUUCCGACCGAAGCGAAAGUGUUAAGUGCUCCGCCUGGGGAGUAUGGUCGC